AACGAACGCUGGCGGCGUGCCUAACACAUGCAAGUCGAGCGAGAAAGCCCGCAAGGGUGAGUACAGCGGCGCACGGGUGCGUAACACGUGGGUAAUCUGCCCUGGAGUCCGGAAUAACUCGCCGAAAGGCGUGCUAAUGCCGGAUGAGACCACGGGGGCUCCGGCCCCUGAGGGAAAAGGUGGCCCCUGCAUGCAAGCUAUCACUUCAGGAUGAGCCCGCGGCCCAUCAGCUCGUUGGCGGGGUAACGGCCCACCAAGGCUACGACGGGUAGCUGGUCUGAGAGGACGAUCAGCCACACUGGAACUGAGACACGGUCCAGACUCCUACGGGAGGCAGCAGUGGGGAAUCUUGCGCAAUGGGCGAAAGCCUGACGCAGCAACGCCGCGUGUGUGAUGAAGGUCUUCGGAUCGUAAAGCACUGUCGGGAGGGACGAAUAAGGGCCGGGCGAACAUCCCGGUCCGAUGACGGUACCUCCAAAGGAAGCACCGGCUAACUCUGUGCCAGCAGCCGCAGUAAGAC
rnacentral:rRNA from 1 species